GACGACGCUGGCGGCGUGCUUAAAACAUGCAAGUCGAACGGACUUCUCAUGAAGCUUGCGAUUGAGAGUUAGUGGCGGACGGGUGAGUAACGCGUGGGCAACCUGCCCCUGAGCCCGGGAUAACAGUUCGAAAGGACUGCUAAGACCGGAUAUACUUGCGGGGAAGCAUUUCUCUGUAAGGAAAGGGAACGCUCAGGGAUGGGCCCGCGUCCCAUUAGCUAGUUGGUGAGGUAACGGCCCACCAAGGCGACGAUGGGUAGCCGGCCUGAGAGGGUGAACGGCCACACUGGGACUGAGACACGGCCCAGACUCCUACGGGAGGCAGCAGUUGGGAAUCUUCGGCAAUGGGCGCAAGCCUGACCGAGCAACGCCGCGUGAGUGAUGAAGGUUUUCGGAUUGUAAAGCUCUGUCUUCCGGGACGAUAAUGACGGUACCGGAGGAGGAAGCCACGGCUAACUACGUG
rnacentral:rRNA from 1 species